rnacentral:rRNA from 12 species
GUGGACGCAUCACUGGUGUUCGGGUUGUCAUGCCAAUGGCACUGCCCGGUAGCUAAAUGCGGAAGAGAUAAGUGCUGAAAGCAUCUAAGCACGAAACUUGCCCCGAGAUGAGUUCUCCCUGAGACUUUAGGUCUCCUGAAGGAACGUUGAAGACGACGACGUUGAUAGGCCGGGUGUGUAAGCGCAGCGAUGCGUUGAGCUAACCGGUACUAAUGAACCGUGAGGCUUAACCUU